CUGGAAUAGAGGAUUUAGGAAAAUCCUGGUGGAGGUGGAAGAGUAUCUGAAGAGAGCCACCGCUACUCUGGAUCCUAAUAGGGCUCUAAUUGACUGCUGCAUGAAUCUAAUCAAGCGUGAUUGGGAUUGCAAAAUUCUUCAGGUUCGUAGGGAAGCAAACUUGUGUGCUAAUUGGUUAGCCUCUCAUUUUGAAGACCAUCCGUUGGGAUUGACAAUUUUUGAGAGCCCACCUGGUAAUUUGGUUCCUAUAUUGCAGAAGGAUUCUAUGAGGAGUCCUUACCCCUCUCAUCAGGCUUAGUCGGACUUAGCCCUCCUAUGCACAGCUAACACUCGUAUGUUAGAUUUUGCUCUUGACCUGGCUCUGAAAUUACCGGAUG
rnacentral:misc_RNA from 1 species